UCCCUGAUAGCUCAGUUGGUAAAGAAUCUGCCUGCAAUGCAGGAGACCCUGAUUUGAUUCCUGGGUUGGGGAA
rnacentral:tRNA from 1 species